rnacentral:tRNA from 1 species
GGCGGAUUGCCCGAGUGGCCAAAGGGAUCCGGCUGUAAACCGGCUGCGUAAUGCUACGGGGGUUCAAAUCCCUCAUCCGCCA